AAAGUUUUAUUCUUGCUUAUGUAUUUAUUGUUUGGAUAUUUUACAUGUAAAUUUUUGUGGGUAAUUAAUGAAUCUAAAGGAUAUUAAUUAUUAUUCGCAGUAUUUGGUUUUAAUAAAUCAAGGGAACUUGGAAUUAGUAAUCUGAUGUAUGAUCGGCUAAAGUCGUGCCAGCUGCCGCGGUUAUACGUAGGAUAGAAAUAAAUUGUGUUAGUUAAUAAGUUAAACGGGAAGUUAAGAGAGAAGUUAAUUUUAUAGGUAAAAUUUGUUAAAUUAAAUGUUUCUUAUAGUAGGARAGUUGAAGCUUUGAAAAUUAAAGUUAAAACUAGGAUUAGAUACCCUAUUAUUUUAAUUGUAAAAAGAGGAGACUUGAGUAGUAUUAGUUAAGUGCUUGAAACUCAAAGAAUUUGGCGGUGUCUUAGUCUUUUCAGAGGAAUCUGUCCUAUAAUCGAUAUUACACGUUAAAUGUUACUUAAUUUGGUAUAGUCAAUUUGUAUACCGCCGUCAUAAGAUCAUCUUUUUAGAGAAAGAAUUUUCUUGAUAUUAUAAGAUAAUAUGUCAGGUCAAGGUGCAGUUUAUAAUUAAGUGGGAGAUGGAUUACAAUAAAUUUAUUUAAAUGGAUUCUUUAUUGAGACAUGAAGAUGAAGGUGGAUUUGAAGGUAAUUUUGUUAAAUUAUGAUAAAAUGAUUAAAGCUCUAGGACAUGUACACAUCGCCCGUCGCUCUCGUUAUUAAGAUGAGAUAAGUCGUAACAUAGUAGUCGUACUGGAAAGUGUGGCUAGAAAGU
rnacentral:ncRNA from 1 species